UCGCCAUUUUGGAUGUAGCCUUUGUUAGGGAUCCUCGUCUGACGUAUUGCCCGGACUUUUACUACUUAAAUACGCCUUCUUAUUUUUGUAAUUCUUUAUCCCCUAGACUCUACACUGACCAACAAAGAAAAUGCAUUUUCACAUUACUUUGUCCAAAUUUAACGUACUCGUAAUUUAAUUGAUCAUAGAAAACAUGUUGCCGUACGCACGAAUACCUAAAUUUUGAUGGAACUGUUUGCAUGCAAUGUUGAAAUGCGUUUUCUAUUGGCGUAAUUUUUUUUUACUAGUAUGUUAAACAUCCAAUCCAUUCUUUCUUACUGAAGACUUUUUGUCAAAAUUUUGAAUCUCGCGCUUUGAUGUGUCUCAUACAAGCAUUCUGGCCUACGUCAGGAAAUAGGGUACAGAAUUGCAUGGCACCUUUUGAGUCUGCUGUCGGACCUAUACACAUGUAAUGGGAAAGGUAUUGGAACAACUAAUUACAUGGAGGUGAUGUGUAAAAGUGGGACUUGAGUUGUUAGCAGUUGGUUGAAAAGAGCAUAGAUGGAAUCCUGGGUUGGCCACUUUAUGAAACAUUCGCGUCUAUUUAGGCCAAAAGUACGACAAAUCUAUCCACAUCGAACAUGGAGCGGAUUACCGUAUUGUACAUAGAAACGUUUGAAGAUGGUAUGGACUAGAUGCAUGUUGGAGUAAUGUUCCAGAAAGCAGCAUUCCAGGGGCAAGAAUCCAAGUUGAAAGGCUGAUCAACACUUCAUAUAUUGUUAAACUUGUUUUCUUUGCUCCUUGUUAGAUGGAAUUUGUGGAAGUUGCCGAAAUGUCAGGACGGAGUGAUACGCAAAAUUUGGAGUCGAAAAAAGUGUUUGCAUGUGGUGAAUGCUAAGAACGUCUGUUGGCACUUCCAGAAAUUUUAAGGCUUGGGACACGAUACAGGCUGUAGAUGGUAGAAUUUGCAUUGCAAGUCAAAAUCGUGUGUUGUUGCCUGUCGACUAUUAAGUAACAAGUUGGAGCUAAUGUGUCUAAAAUGAUUACUUCUUAGAUACUAAAAAUAAAUA